GAUGAACGCUGGCGGCGUGCUUAACACAUGCAAGUCGAGCGAUUUACUUCGGUAAAGAGCGGCGGACGGGUGAGUAACGCGUGGGUAACCUGCCUCAUACACAUGGAUAACAUACCGAAAGGUAUGCUAAUACAAGAUGAUAUAAGAGAUUCGCAUGAAUUUCUUAUCAAAGCUCCGGCGGUAUGAGAUGGACCCGCGUCUGAUUAGCUAGUUGGUAAGGUAACGGCUUACCAAGGCGACGAUCAGUAGCCGACCUGAGAGGGUGAUCGGCCACAUUGGAACUGAGACACGGUCCAAACUCCUACGGGAGGCAGCAGUGGGGAAUAUUGCACAAUGGGCGAAAGCCUGAUGCAGCAACGCCGCGUGAGCGAUGAAGGCCUUCGGGUCGUAAAGCUCUGUCCUCAAGGAAGAUAAUGACGGUACUUGAGGAGGAAGCCCCGGCUAACUACGUGCCAGCAGCCGCGGUAAGAC
rnacentral:rRNA from 1 species